UGGGGAGGGAUAUCUUAGCAAUGCCUAUAAAUAUCUGACAGGAGGGAAUGAGAAGGAGGGUACCGGGUUCUUCUCAGUUGCAGCCAGUGACAGGGCAAGAAGGGAUGAGCACUUGAAAUUCCAUGUCAACACAAGAAAACCCUUUUCUCUGAUGAUCCCUAAGCACUGGAGCAGGUUGCUUGGCGAGGCUGAGGGUUCUGUGAUUGGAGGUAGGUGGUCACUCCAAGCCUCUAAAGGCUCUUCCUUUUUCUUUUUUUUUAAAGCUUGCAAGCUGCCACCAACUAUCAUUUUCAAAUGUUUGUGAGCUUGUUUGUAUUUCUUUAGACUUUUUUAUGCCAAGUGAUCUCUGCUCCUUCAACAGCAAUCAUUCACUCCAAUUCUCUAGUUCAUGACACAUCUAAUCGGGUAAAAAACUUAAGGGAAAGGACAAGCAUGAGAAACAGGGGCAGAAAGCUCCUUAGGCAGCUUUAUUUGGCAGGAGACUUGAUUCUGAUAUGCUCCUACCCCCGACUUAGGGCUUUGCUUUCUGCCUUGUGAGAUGUGAGAUGAGAAUCGCAGAGCUGUGUUGGUCAGGAGAAUUGCUUGAAAGUCCAGCCUGCUGCUCAGGGCAAGCCUGGCUGGAUCCAACAACUGAGGGACUUGUCCCAUUGGUGUUUAGAUGUGUUCAAGGGUGGAGACGUUCCUAAUACCAAGGGAUGGAGAAAUUAGGUGGCCAAGUGACUGUGCCUAACAGGGGGAGGAACAUCUGCUGGAAAUACAAAAUCUCUGCCAUUUAUUCAAAAACUACUCCUUGUUUCAUGGCAAAACUAAUAGCCCUGCUGUUAAGUGACAAAGUUACUAAGAGCAUUUGCAGUUUCACCUUAAAACAAUUUUAGUGUGGAAAGGAAUUGGGACUAUCAAGUGUUGCACUUGUGCUGUGAAGAUGUUUAUGGGAAUGAGCUUUGAAGGCUUUGCUAUACUUGCAUGUCGUUGAAAUGAUCAUUUAAAAUAAUGUCACCACUUGGAAUGUAUGAACCUGGUAGACUGGAUUGCAGCAAAGGAGAAGAGCUUUUGUCAGAUGUCGACUGCUUGACCAAAAGCCAUUCCAAAAGAUGGCCUGAUUGGUUAUUUGCUAAUUAGCUAAAAAUCUUUCAGAAGGUCUUACAUAGCUGAAGAAACUGGAAAGUUAAGAAUAUCAUGAUCAAAAAUAAGACGUAGUAACCUAAAGGGUGCAGUAGAUUGAGUUUUUGCCUUAAUAAAAGCCUGAGGUAAGGGCAGUUUGUAUCGUACUGUUGAAUGUAUGGUCUGAAAAAGAGCAAAAGUGCUUAGUGAACUAGCAGGGUUUGCAGAUGACCAUGAAAUGUGAGGCAUCAAAUCCAAUUGUGUGAAUCUCCGCAGUAAUAAAAACGCGAUUCAGUCAACAGAUGCAGGGAAAUCUCCAUUGGAGAGGAAGAUAAGAGUCGUCUGGUGAUCUAGAUGCUUAAGCUAACUAUCUUCUCAAGAGGUCAGGGUCAGCGAGUUCAUUGAGCACUUGUGGACAAAAAGUUAAUUCUGAAAUUGGAGAAUGGGGAUGUGAUAAAAUAUGCUCUAAUUUUUAGAUUCAAAUAACAUUGUAGCCUGAUUUGUCUAUUGUAUGCUGUAUCGGCAGUUGAGUUCGUUCAUUCAGUGGAAUGAAGAAAUGUUCUGUGAAAUGGAAAAACAGCAAAUUGAAAACAGUGUAAAGGGAGGGGAAAUCAUACUGUAUAUCAUUAGACCGGCUCCUAUUUACAAGGUACUAUCGAGACUGAAAAUAUAACAAGAUUAAAUGCAUUGUUGUAUUCACUAGGGGAUUAAUAAAGCUUGAUUUCUAAUAUAUUUGCAUCCUUGGUUCACAUAACACCUUAUUAUUUCAGCCCCAUCAUAAUCAUCCAGGCCCUCUGUAUCUCCGGUGAUCCCUUCCAGCGAGUAUUAUGAGGAGUGUGGUACUGUGUUAAUUAGUCAGCACAUCUCUUUUUCAGAUCUGAUUAAAGUUAGUCAAUAGAUCGACUUCCCCCCUCCUGUUAGAGGGUGGCAAGCUGAUGGACAAGGAGCAGCACUGCAGCCUCCCUGACAGGGAAGCAUCUGGUGCCGUCUGUCGGCGUGCAGGCACAGGAGGAGGUGGAUCUUGCAUUUUACUGAACCUGAUAGCUCAUGGGCUUGGUACUUUUAUGAAAGUGAGAAUGCAAAUGCCUUUUAAGACACUUGGAGAAUCUGAAGGCAAAAUCCUUUCCUCUGUACUGAGACUAUCUCAGACUGAUCCCGCCUAAGAAUCAAGAUAGUCCAUUUUCCUCAGGCUCUUCGGUGUCAGAAACAAAAUUUCUAGUUCUAUUAGAGAUGCUUGGGAAGUCCACGACGUAGUACCAGAGCUCCUUGGCUUCAACAUGAGCUGGCUGAAGGCAGCAGAGCUUUGCAUAUCUCAAGGGCAAGGAGAGGAAACAGAGUUCACUGUUCCUCGAGCGAGUUCAGGACUUAAAUGCUGAGCCACUCCAGGGUGUAUUUGUUGUAACAAGAAUGCUUCAGCCCUCUGAGAAGGUAACUCACAGACUGACCCGACUUUCUGUUUAGGUAGCUUAAGCUGCCUGGUGCGUGACUUUGGUUUCUCUCACAAAUCAGUACGUUGCAGCUUGGGUCUGUGUGCAGGCGGUGCACGCGACAGACACAAAGCUGCAAUCUCUGGAAAUCCUGCUGGAACCCUGAGGCAGUCAGCAGCUGCAUUUCGCAUGUGCGCGCACACCACGUAUUGUAUACAUGGAAAAAAGAAAAGAAAAAUCCCCUAUUGCAUCAUAUUGGUCCUGUUGAAUCUGUGUUAAAUACUACAGAAUUCCCAUUGUAAUGUAUGCAUUUUCCUUAACUUACUUUUUUAGGGCAACUAAGCAGUAAAAUAAUUUCACGAUACACUUUUUCAUACAUAGGUCAGGAACAAUGUUUGCUAAUUUGGGGUCCUUUGGAACAAACUGGGGAACUUCACCUUACUGGCUGUACAUCUGUGCCUGAAGUUCCCUCCCUGCAGGGGAUUCUCCUCAUGUCUUGGUGGAGUGCUAAAAUUCCAGAGGGUUUUUUUGUAGAUUGACCUCAUCUAGCAGACGUAGUCCCAGGUAGAGAGGGCCGAGACACACGUGCAGAAGAAAUCUGAGAACUGUUUUUUGUCAGUGAUAGCCACAUAGGUGAACCUUGAGCUUCGGAGCUGUCAGCGUGCUGCAUGCCAGUGCUGAGCUUGAAAUCCUUGUGCAAGAAAAACAAUGUUUUGUACCCUAACUCUCAGUCUCUGUCCAUUAAUAGCCUGCUUUCCCUAAAGUGGACGCUUCCAAGGAACUCGAGUGAUGCCUUGGUUCUCAUCAGCGUUAUCAGCCAGGUUUCUGACCUUAACAGUGGCAAAAAGUGUAACUGUUGGGUCAGCAGACCGUGAAGAGAAAGCUGAGUCGAAUGUCUUUUAAGUGAUUGACGUAAGCUGAAGAGAUGGCAAGGAAACGAAGUGAUGAAAAGAUCUGAAAGGCAUUUAGAAAUGGAAGAAAGGGAAGUCGCUGCUUGCAGCCCCUCUGGACUCAGAGGCAGGCUGGGCUCUCUCUUUGCUAGUCAUAGCAAGCAGCACGGCUUGAUGGUUGAAAAGACACAGCUUGGAGUUAAGAAUCCGAAGUAGGACUCUGCUGUGUCUGCCGUGACGUUCAGUUAAACUUGUGCCUGCUGCUCCAGCCUGCGUUUUGAGCUUGGCUGCCUUGAGUCUGGGCUUUGGCACCUGGAUGUGACCAGGUCCUGGUCAGCUCAGUGGUGCUGUUCGCUGUUUUCAGACAAGUCCCGUUGCUAGCUCAUUUCCUACGUUUUUGACUUAACCACAACUCUUCACUUGAUUUUGACUGAGCUUAUUUUGUUCUCUCCAGUCCCUGGAAGGAAGACAUUUAAAAUAAAGAAAAAUAACGUUGGAUUCCAGUUUCUCACCAUGAAAAAAUGCACCUCAUAAUUAGAACAUAAAAUAAAAUUCCGAAUUUCUUCCUGUGCUACCGGCCUUGCAGCUGGUUGUAUCAUCUGAAGCACGCACGUUACACGUUUCUCUGUGUUCAGGUGAUCUGUGAAAGGCCGAGAAGUGCCUUGCACAAGUGAUGCUUGUGGUGUGUGCUGUGAGAAGCCUGCGGUUCUUGGAGGAAGGGAGAGGUGCGUGUGCUAAUAGCUGGGAUUAAUUAGCUCCUCCCUUCAGAGUGGAUUUCCAGCUACUAAAUCAUUUCUGACCCAAAGUAGAAAUAGAAUAGAGGUAAGGAUGCACCUUCCACCACGGCUGGAUGAGUAACGUUACAGCAUUUUUCCCCAAUAUAUUUUCCACAAUUUUUUGUUGAAAUAUUU